GGGGAGUUUCUUGCCUUUUGGGAGGUCUGACGUCUUCUGCCAGCGUUCAGUAGGUGUUCUGCAGGAGCUGUUCCACAUGUAGAUGUAUUUCUGAUGUAUUUGUGGGGAGGAAGGUGAUCUCUGCGUCUUACUCUUCCGCCAUCUUGAAGCUCCUCCAAGAGCACUUUUAACGUGGAAAACUACUGAGAAUUCCACGUCUCCUUUUUCUAUAAUAUGAAUAUACAGAUUCCCAAAGACACCUAGAAAAUACAUCAGAAGAAAAACAGGACAAGGAGAAGAAAGGAGAUAGAAGAAAGAGGAGAGCAAAUUCUGAAGGCUUCCAAUUGCUAAGGAUCAAUCCAUGUGCCUCCUAAAACCCUCCAUGGUGACUGCUUAGGAGAAUCAACUGAGGAUCCCCAAGCAGAAAUUAUUAGCAAGUAACUCAGCCUGAAUACCAGAAUAUGUUGGAUCAAUUUAAGAGACAAUAUAGGGCUUCCCUGAUGGCGCAUUGGUUAAGAAUCCUCCUGCCAAUGCAGGGGACACGGGUUCGAGCCCUGGUCCGGGAAGACGCCACAUGCCACAGAUCAACUUAGCCCGUGAGCCACAACUACUGAGGCUGCGCUCUGGAGCCCGCAAGCCGCAACUACUGAAGCCCGCGUGCCUAGAGCCCGUGCUCCACAACAAGAGGAGCCACCACAAUGAGAAGCCAGUGCACCGCAACAAAGAGUAGCCCCUACACUCUGCAACUAGAGAAAGCCUGUACGCAGCA